UACGAGGGGGGCGAGCGUUGUUCGGAAUUAUUGGGCGUAAAGGGUGCGUAGGCGGUUUGGUAAGUCUGAUGUGAAAUCUAUGGGCUCAACUCAUAGUCUGCAUCGGAAACUGCCGGGCUUGAGUAUGGGAGAGGUGAGUGGAAUUCCUGGUGUAGCGGUGAAAUGCGUAGAUAUCAGGAGGAACACCUGUGGCGAAAGCGGCUCACUGGACCACAACUGACGCUGAGGCGCGAAAGCUAGGGGAGCAAACAGG
rnacentral:rRNA from 1 species